rnacentral:lncRNA from 1 species
UUUUCCCCUACAGUAUACUGCACAUACUCUUCUGCUGUAAUCAUGAUUUAACACUCUGUCAGUCACCACUGACACCUUAUGCUACUUGUAGCAUGCCUACACUCUUCUGAACUUUUUAUUAAUGCAUUAAAUACACCUUAUUCCUUGGCUCUAGCUUUCUUAGUUCUAGUUUUCAUUUUUGCCAGAUUAAUCAGCAGCCGCUAUUCUAAAAUGCUCCCUGCUCCAUUUUGGGGGAAGUUAGUUGGCACGUGAUUUUUUUCUAAUUUUUGGUAAAGUAACAGUAAACAGCCUCUGACCAGGAGUUUAACUGGCUCUUUUUGAGAUUAAUUCAUUACCAUUUUGGCAGCCCCAAAGCACUCUUCUGCUGCUCUAAUAAGGCAGGCUGCUGCACAAAACUGAUAACCAGACAGGUGGAUAUACUACAAUGAACAUACUGUACCAAAUCCACCCCAUCUUUACCAAAUGUAACAUAUUAAAUCCAUCCCAUCUUUAUUCAGUAGACAUACCAAAAUAUAACAGAUAAAAGUAAGCCUGUUAUCUUAAUUCUGGAUAAAUGGGAACUUAUUUUAGCGUCUUUAUAACAUGAGCAUUCCCACAUCCUGACUCAAAUUAUGAAAUGGUUUAAGACAUCAAUUUAAACUACCUGUAUUUUAUAUUACUAUAUCUUACUUAAAGCACAAUAUCUUAUCUGUCCAGAUUACCUUCGCU